rnacentral:misc_RNA from 1 species
UUGACUUAUUUAGUAGUCCACUCAGAAUUCGACGCUGAAGCCAGGUUUUGGUUGCGUGCAUCCGGCGGUUGCCACCCCCGCAGUGCGGGGGAGGCGGCGCCCACUGCCGCGGGCGCGCCGCCGAAGCAACGAUAGGUGUGUCCACGAGGGUUGGGAGUUUAGAACUCGCUAAUGAUCCCUCCGCUGGUUCACCAACGGAGA